UGCACGAGUUUUUCUGAGAAAUUGCGAUAUUACAAAUUGCGUAAUAUGCAGCCGAGACGUUCGAUCGUGUACUUAUGUCAAUUUGUAAGAUAUUUUUAAUUGUCGUUUCUAAGUAAAACCAGGCUGUCUCUAAUUUCAAUCGGUCCUACAUUUUCUCACGCUCUCCAUUCAAUCCUUAUCCACUCGGAACCAUCCUCGCAGUAUCCUUUCGUUCAGGAAUUCCUUUUAAAAGCGAGAAACGAUAGCCGGAAUGGACGACCCUAUAUUAUCAGGUACUUCAACGUCUUAUCGGGCAUUGGUGGCGACCUGUUCAUCGCUCCUCCAGCAGUAAUCUCAACCUACCGAUACUAUAUGCAGACAUUAAAAGGGGCCUCGUUGCUGCAGUCCCUGAAGGGCCUCAAGCACGAAACUGGAAGCAAAGGGAGGGAAGGAACAUUUGACAAGAGGGGUCGUCGUCUCUGACCCGCAUCGUAAUGGCGUUCUCUCUUUCUUGACAUUUGACCUAACCCAACCCCAUACUAGGGCGGACAGAAAGAUUCCGAGAAAAGAGUGAGGGACCAGGAUAAAAAAAGAUGCGUUUCUCCGAGAAUUCAACGUCCUCCGACGCAAUCGAGGUGCACGGAAAAUUUUCAAAGGAGUCUCGCUGCUCCGUCUCUCUUUGAUCGUUCCCCACGUGACAUCCCUCUAAGGAGCCACUUUAUACCAUGACAGUUCCUCUCCGAAGCUACAACUGCGCAGGCGCGCCGCUUGCGUGCGGCGCCACCUUAUACCGAAGCAUUGUACUCACCUCGUACGGCGCAUCUGUCCGUGCUUUAUUGGCCUAUUUCUGGGAAGUUAAAAACCGGCGGGUUAUUCAAAUCGCCAAGAGACGCUACACUAUAUCUUAUUACGUAGAAUUGUAUUGUCGUGUCCUUACCGAAAGGACGUAACGUUCUGCUAGUGAUUAUUCAUUCGCCUUUUUUUUUUUCUUUUUCUUUUUACAACCAGACCUUGGACUCUCCAAGCAUCUGUCCGUCGCCUCUUGAUUUUCGUGGAAUUAAAUUAUUUCUUGAACUCUUGUAAUCUGUCUACAGCUGAUAAAAAAAAUAUUAACGUUACUUCUUCGACGCCAUGGCACGAUAAGUUCAAACACGUUAGGCCACGGUUCUCUGAAUCUUCGAGCAUAUUAUUAUUUGACAAAAAAAAAAGAGAAAGAAUCGCAUAGACUUAUUUUUUUAAUAUUGCUACGCCAUUGCCCAAAGGGGUCUGGACCCAGCCUACCCAGUCUGCCUGCCUGAAUUCUGCUUCAGGCUUCAGUCCCCUAUCUCUUCUUCCACGUAGAACAGCUGUCCGCUUUUAAUCUCUCGUUCCUCUUAAAUUCAAUUCCCCCGAUCGUUAAUCGUACCUGGGGAUCAAAGUUCAAAGAACCGUGGAGCCCGACGCCGCGGCGUCCGCACUUUUACUUCACGUCCUGGGAACGAAAUGUCCUGAUAAGGAUCUCUGGACGCAGUUCGCAGGUGCGAGACGGAUUUUAAUCUAUGAAUAUUUUUUUUUUAUGUUUUCACUGUUAUCGUUGGUCAUGCAUUUUUAGCAACAAUUCUUCCCUAUCCUUGGUCCUCUCUUUUUUUUCUCAAUGCAAAAAUCAAACUUUAUGGAGAUUCGUUAUUGGUCAGUGGCCUUUUUGCUGUCGCUACGAAAACCUAACCGAUACCCGAUAACGAUUUAUAGCUCAUGGACGAUCGUUGCAAUCGUUACGCCAGGAAGCAGAAAUACUUGGCUGUAAUAUUGGUUAUUGAUCUCUUUGCGAUCGUGACGUCACGUACGACGAUACGAAAUUCCGAUAAGGAUUCGUGGAAUUAAUUUUAUCAGUGCCCACGUAUCUAUGUACAAGUCGUCAUUACAUUUAUUAUUUUUAAUAUUCUAUCAUUUUAUUCCGACCCCCUCUCCGUCCCUUUUCUGUUUUUUACUGCACCCGUACCGAAACGUAUUUUUUAUUUCUAUUGUACUCCAAGCAUUUUAUCUAAAUGAUUAAUAAAUAUCUUUAUCGCUAU